rnacentral:misc_RNA from 1 species
AAGUCGUAACAAGGUUUCCGUAGGUGAACCUGCGGAAGGAUCAUUACUGAGUGAUGGGGCCACGCGCCCCUGCUCCCAUCCUAUGGUGACACGCAGAAGUGUUGCUUCCGGCUUUGCUGGACAGCAGUUUUAAGCUCAAGUGGUAGACAUUUGCUCUGAUCGUAUUGAUAAAUCAAACAAAAACUUUCAACAACGGAUCUCUUGGUUCCG